rnacentral:lncRNA from 1 species
GAACACAAAAUGGCGACACGUGGUUAGCAUUCGUCGCCAACGAGAAAUUGGGGUCGGCCCGAAAGCUCUAGAAUGCACCCCUCUUCCUCCCCGGGGCCUUCCACCUCCGCGAGUUUUAUGACUUAAAAAAGCCCACAGGCUGGUCUGAAGAGGAAGACAAACAUAAAGAUGAAGUGCUUAAUUCAAGGUCACACAAUGUCGGGGAUGGACCUCCAGAUUUCCUUACUGACCUGCAUUAUCUUGUGGAUACCUGAGUGAAUUCCACACCACCCAUUUUAUAGAUGAAACCACUGAGACAUGGAGCAAUUGACUGAGUAGUCACUGCCCCACCCCUGCCUGGAGCCUCACACAUGACUCGCCUCCUCUCAGUGACCACAGGUGAGACGUGGUCUUGUAACACAGUGGUUAAGAAUGUGACUUUGGAGCCAGCCUGCUAGGGGCUGAAUUCUGACUCAGCCAUUUACUAACUGUGUGACCUUAGGUGGAGUCUCACUCUGUAGCCCAAGCUGGAGUGGCGUGAUCUCGACUCACUGCAACCUCCGCCUC